rnacentral:rRNA from 1 species
CCUACGGGUGGCAGCAGUGAGGAAUAUUGGUCAAUGGGCGAGAACCUGAACCAGCCAAGUCGCGUGAGGGAGUACUGCCCUAUGGGUUGUAAACCUCUUUUGUCAGGGAACAAAGGCGGGGACUAGUCCCCGGAUGAGGGUACCUGAAGAAAAAGCAUCGGCUAACUCCGUGCCAGCAGCCGCGGUAAUACGGAGGAUGCGAGCGUUAUCCGGAUUUAUUGGGUUUAAAGGGUGCGCAGGCGGCCUGUUAAGUCAGCGGUAAAAGCCCGGGGCUCAACCCCGGCGAGCCGUUGAAACUGGCGGGCUGGAGUUGGAGAGAAGUACGCGGAAUGCGCGGUGUAGCGGUGAAAUGCUUAGAUAUCGCGCAGAACCCCGAUUGCGAAGGCAGCGUACCGGCUCCACACUGACGCUGAGGCACGAAAGCGUGGGUAUCGAACAGGAUUAGAUACCCCUGUAGUC